rnacentral:sRNA from 1 species
AUCGAAAAAAACUUUUUACCCUGCGCAAGGGGACAACACCUAGUUCUCAUUGUAUAAGACGAGUGUACUCACAACAACAUUCAUUAAUGAGAAUAACAUAAUUUCUUGAUUCUCUCUCUAACAAACUUUUCUAGAAUAAAUGAAACCAAUAAUCAAAUCUUACCUUAAACUCACGCACCAGAGAAUGAAACGUUCGGAGAGAAAUGACACGAGAUAGAGCGAAGAAGAAAUCCGGCGAGAGAGAAAGAGAGAUCCGGUGAGAGAGAGAGAGAUCCGAUGGAGAGAGAGAGAUCCGGGGAAGUGUUUGUUUGCGGCGAAGAAGAGAGGGCAAUGGCGUCGAGAGAAUGAGAGAAAUAGAUUAGGUUUUUGGGAUGUAAUUCUUUAAAUUAUUUAGGGGUAUUUAGGUCAUUUUGUAUUUUGGACUGAAUCAGUUCCAGUUAACUGGUCGAUCAGACUCAGCCGGAUUCCGAUCAUUUUGAAAUGAGUUUUAUAAAAAAAAUCCAACUGAUCCAUCUCACUCCAGUGUUAAAUUGCUCUAAACGAACAUCAUUAUUCAUCUACAUUCAACUGGAUCAUCUGACUGGACAAACAAACAUCACCUUACUUUUGAAUGUUUUUUUUUAUAUAAUUACAUCAAAGAAUAUUUUUAUUUUCUUAUUGACCUCUCUACGAUCAAAAUACAAUUUCUAAUUGAAGAAUAUUUUUUGUUGUUAUGUAUUUGUCUAAAUCGUAUUGAUGAUUAAAGUUUUAUUGACUUCAUGAAAAGAACUUUCUAUUCUUUUUUAUUUACGCUCUGAAUGGAGAAAGCGUACAGGGUAGAGCGGAUCAAGCACAUCAAGCAGAACAAAAGCAGAUCAAGCAGAUCUAGCGGUAGAAGUGUGAGUCAAGCGGUUCAAACGCUUCAAAAGAUAUUUUGAAUGGUGAAAGCAGAUCAUAUAGUGCGGAUGAAAUAUGUACUUUUUAAAAAAAUAGAAAAUCUAAAUUAAUAAAAAUAUAGAUUAAAUUUUCUUAGAUAAUAGUAUAUGGCACACCUUCCAAAUUUAUCUACUUUUAUGCUUACAUUCAACUUUUAAUCAUUUGUGUUUAUACAUUGAUGGGAGAAACGUUAUUCUAUGGGUUUUUUUUUGCCUUUUAGCAACAAAAGUGGAUGAACCACUUACAUAACAAAAAUGAGACGGAUCAUCUAUAUAAUGCCACACACAAUUCAAAAACAAUUUUAUAUUUACUUUUAAUAUCAUUUAUGGCUAUAUAAUACAUUGUAAAGAAACACUUUUACACACACCAAAAAAAAAACUCUUUCUAUUACUUAUACCAAAAAAUUAAAAUCUCUUACAUACAACAAAGGAAUGAAGGUCAUAUUUCAUUUUUGAAAUCAAAUUAUGUUUUAUUUUAUAUAUAAUAUAUGUAUGUAUUAAGAAUAUUGUACUAUAAUUAAUACAUAUCGAUUAAUUAAAACUAGAGUAGUUUUAUUGAUUAAUUUAUUUAUAGCUUCAAACUUUUGUAUAAAAUUAUUGAAAUACAAACAUAUAUACUUAUAAGUACAAUUUGUGAACUAUUACAAUUUUGAUUUCUAAUGUUAACUUUUCAUGAAAUAUAACAAUAACUUGAUGUAUGUUACCAAUUGUUUCUAAACUUUUUUGUUAGCUGUCUAUAAAGUAGAAAUUCAGUAAUUUUUAUCUUUUUU